rnacentral:rRNA from 1 species
UUAGGAAUCUUGCGCAAUGGGCGAAAGCCUGACGCAGCGACGCCGCGUGACUGAUGAAGUCUUUCGGGAUGUAAAGGUCUUUUGUGGGGGACGAAGGAAGUGACGGUACCCCACGAAUAAGCCCCGGCUAACUACGUGCCAGCAGCCGCGGUAAUACGUAGGGGGCGAGCGUUGUCCGAAUUCACUGGGCGUAAAGCGCGCGUAGGCGGGCUUUUAAGUUGUGGGUGAAAUCCCGAGGCUUAACCUCGGAGCUGCCUGCAAAACUGGAAGCCUUGAGGUUUGGAGAGGGAAGUGGAAUUCCAGGUGUAGCGGUGAAAUGCGUAGAUAUCUGGAGGAACACCCGUGGCGAAGGCGGCUUCCUGGCCAUAUCCUGACGCUGAGGUGCGAAAGCUAGGGGAGCGAACGGG